GAGUGGCGCACGGGUGAGUAACACGUAGGUAAUCUACCUUCGGAUGGGGAAUAACAACCGGAAACGGUUGCUAAUACCGCAUAAUGCACUAAUGGUGACAGUUGUUAAAGCGGGGGAUCGAAAGACCUCGCGUCUGAAGAGGAGCCUGCGGCGGAUUAGCUAGUUGGUAAGGUAAUGGCUUACCAAGGCUACGAUCCGUAACCGGCCUGAGAGGGCGGUCGGUCACACUGACACUGACAUACGGGUCAGACUCCUACGGGAGGCAGCAGUCGGGAAUUUUGGGCAAUGGGCGAAAGCCUGACCCAGCAACGCCGCGUGAAGGAUGAAAUCCCUCGGGAUGUAAACUUCGCAAGAACGGGAAGAAUAAGCGAGAGUUAAUAUCUUUCGUGAUGACGGUACCGUUUGUAAGCUCCGGCUAACUCCGUGCCAGCAGCCGCGGUAAUACGGGGGGAGCAAGCGUUGUUCGGAUUUACUGGGCGUAAAGGGCGCGUAGGCGGCCAGCACAAGUCAGUUGUGAAAUCUCCGAGCUUAACUCGGAAAGGUCAACUGAUACUGUGCGGCUAGAGUGCGGAAGGGGCAACUGGAAUUCUUGGUGUAGCGGUGAAAUGCGUAGAUAUCAAGAGGAACACCUGCGGCGAAGGCGGGUUGCUGGGCCGACAC
rnacentral:rRNA from 1 species